UACCCCCUGAAAUUUAAGCAUAUCACUAAGCGGAGAAAAAGAAAAUAACAAUGAUUCCUAAAGUAACGGCGAGUGAAAUAGGAAAAGCCCAUAGCCGAAUCCCGCUGUUCUCGACGGCAGCUGGGAGUUGUGGCGUUUGGAACUGUCUAUUGUAACCGAUUGACCGAACUACGCGACUCCUCUUGAUUGUGGUUUGCCCAUAGCAGGUGAAAGGCCUAUAGCCCGUAGUUUCAAAUUGAAGGUCAGCGGUGAUGGCAGUCCUUAGAGUCGGGUUGUUUGGGAUUGCAGCCCGAAGUCGGUGGUAAACUCCACCUAAGGCUAAAUACGACCGCGAGUCCGAUAGCGAACAAGUACCGUGAGGGACAGUUGAAAAGAACUUUGAAGAGAGAGUUCAAAGUACGUGAAACCGUUCAGAGGUAAACGGGUAGAAAGUCGAAUUAGAGGUUGACAAUCAGGUCGUUUGGCCAAGUCGGGGUUGGGCUUGUAGCACGUUAAAGGCUACUUGUCUACUCGUAAGGCUGGCUACGGCUGUAUUUGUUGAUCUUGGAUCGUCGCGACGACAGUGACUGACCAGUUGGUGUUGGUUCCUCUGAUUAGCGUAGACUCGUAUGGGUCUGUUAACGUUGGUACAUGAACUAGCAUCCUGCGUACAUGGCACUGUCGAUAUGUUAAUAGUAAUUCAAGCGUUCCAGCUGGCUAUCGUUCGCUUUGUAUUAGCAUCCCGAUCUUAAAUAAGCUCGAUUGUUAACAUCAAGGUGGCGUUAUGUUGGUUUAACGACGGAACAAGAGUUACAUUGGCGGCGUUUGACUACGAAUUAUCUACCUGACCCGUCUUGAAACACGGACCAAGGAGUCUAACUUGUGCGCGAGCUAUUGGGAAUUGAAACCCAAAGGCAAAGUGAAAGCAAGCAUGGUGAGAUCUGUCGUUUAUUUGUUAAGAAUACAACGGCGGCGCAUCAUCGUCACGCCUCAACAUCGGCUUCGGCUGUAGAGACGCAGACUGAGCGCACAGGUUGGGACCCGAAAGAUGGUGAACUAUGCUAGGCGAGGUCGAAGCCAGAGGAAACUCUGGUGGAGGACUGUAGCGGUUCUAACGUGCAAAUUGAUCGUCGCAGCUUCGUAUAGGGGCGAAAGACUAAUCGAACCAUCUAGUAGCUGGUUCCCUCCGAAGUUUCCCUCAGGAUAGCUGGCACUUACGGAGAGCAGUUUUGUCCGGUAAAGCGAAUGACUAGAGGCCUUGGGGACAUAACGACCUCAACCUAUUCUCAAACUUUGAAUGGGCAAGAAGAGGGACUUUCUUAAUUGAAGUCUCCUCAUUGAAGAAUGCUUGAGUGCCAAGUGGGCCAUUUUUGGUAAGCAGAACUGGCGCUGUGGGAUGAACCAAACGUUUAGCUAAGGCGCCAAAUGCUAACGCUCAUCCGAACCCAUUAAAGGUGUUGGUUGAUAGAGACAGCAGGACGGU
rnacentral:rRNA from 1 species